rnacentral:misc_RNA from 1 species
GAUGAAGAACGUAGCGAAAUGCGAUACGUAGUGUGAAUUGCAGAAUUCAGUGAAUCAUCGAAUCUUUGAACGCACAUUGCACCUCUCGGUAUUCCGGGAGGUAUGCCUGUUCGAGCGUCAUUUGUACCCUCAAGCUCUGCUUGGUGUUGGGUGUUUGUUCCGCCUCUGUGUGUGAACUCGCCUCAAAACAAUUGGCAGCCGGCGUACUUGUUUCGGAGCGCAGCACAUUUUGCGAUCCAGAUCAACGUACAGCGGCAUCCAAGAAGCCUUAUUUAACGCUCUUGACCUCGGAUCAGGUAGGGAUACCCGCUGAACUUAAGCAUAUCAAUAAUCGGAGGA